rnacentral:rRNA from 5 species
UGACCUCGAUCAGGUAGG